rnacentral:rRNA from 1 species
UUGCCAGACUCCUACGGGAGGCAGCAGUGGGGAAUAUUGGACAAUGGGGGGAACCCUGAUCCAGCGACGCCGCGUGGGUGAAGGAGUAUUUCGGUAUGUAAAGCCCUAUCAGCAGGGAAGAACAAUGACGGUACCUGACUAAGAAGCACCAGCUAAAUACGUGCCAGCAGCCGCGGUAAUACGUAUGGUGCAAGCGUUAUCCGGAUUUACUGGGUGUAAAGGGAGCGCAGGCGGCGCGUUAAGCCUGGUGUGAAAGCCCGCGGCCCAACCGCGGGACUGCAUUGGGAACUGGCGCGCUGGAGUGCCGGAGGGGUAGGCGGAAUUCCUAGUGUAGCGGUGAAAUGCGUAGAUAUCAGGAGGAACACCAGUGGCGAAGGCGGCCUGCUGGACGAUGACUGACGCUGAGGCUCGAAAGCGUGGGGAGCAAACAGGAUUAGAUACCCGUGUAAU